rnacentral:rRNA from 1 species
AAAUUGAAGAGUUUGAUCAUGGCUCAGAUUGAACGCUGGCGGCAGGCCUAACACAUGCAAGUCGAGCGGUAGCACAGAGAGCUUGCUCUCGGGUGACGAGCGGCGGACGGGUGAGUAAUGUCUGGGAAACUGCCUGAUGGAGGGGGAUAACUACUGGAAACGGUAGCUAAUACCGCAUAACGUCGCAAGACCAAAGUGGGGGACCUUCGGGCCUCAUGCCAUCAGAUGUGCCCAGAUGGGAUUAGCUAGUAGGUGGGGUAAUGGCUCACCUAGGCGACGAUCCCUAGCUGGUCUGAGAGGAUGACCAGCCACACUGGAACUGAGACACGGUCCAGACUCCUACGGGAGGCAGCAGUGGGGAAUAUUGCACAAUGGGCGCAAGCCUGAUGCAGCCAUGCCGCGUGUGUGAAGAAGGCCUUCGGGUUGUAAAGCACUUUCAGCGGGGAGGAAGGCGUUAAGGUUAAUAACCUUGGCGAUUGACGUUACCCGCAGAAGAAGCACCGGCUAACUCCGUGCCAGCAGCCGCGGUAAUACGGAGGGUGCAAGCGUUAAUCGGAAUUACUGGGCGUAAAGCGCACGCAGGCGGUCUGUCAAGUCGGAUGUGAAAUCCCCGGGCUCAACCUGGGAACUGCAUUCGAAACUGGCAGGCUAGAGUCUUGUAGAGGGGGGUAGAAUUCCAGGUGUAGCGGUGAAAUGCGUAGAGAUCUGGAGGAAUACCGGUGGCGAAGGCGGCCCCCUGGACAAAGACUGACGCUCAGGUGCGAAAGCGUGGGGAGCAAACAGGAUUAGAUACCCUGGUAGUCCACGCCGUAAACGAUGUCGAUUUGGAGGUUGUGCCCUUGAGGCGUGGCUUCCGGAGCUAACGCGUUAAAUCGACCGCCUGGGGAGUACGGCCGCAAGGUUAAAACUCAAAUGAAUUGACGGGGGCCCGCACAAGCGGUGGAGCAUGUGGUUUAAUUCGAUGCAACGCGAAGAACCUUACCUGGUCUUGACAUCCACAGAACUUAGCAGAGAUGCUUUGGUGCCUUCGGGAACUGUGAGACAGGUGCUGCAUGGCUGUCGUCAGCUCGUGUUGUGAAAUGUUGGGUUAAGUCCCGCAACGAGCGCAACCCUUAUCCUUUGUUGCCAGCGGUUAGGCCGGGAACUCAAAGGAGACUGCCAGUGAUAAACUGGAGGAAGGUGGGGAUGACGUCAAGUCAUCAUGGCCCUUACGACCAGGGCUACACACGUGCUACAAUGGCAUAUACAAAGAGAAGCGACCUCGCGAGAGCAAGCGGACCUCAUAAAGUAUGUCGUAGUCCGGAUUGGAGUCUGCAACUCGACUCCAUGAAGUCGGAAUCGCUAGUAAUCGUAGAUCAGAAUGCUACGGUGAAUACGUUCCCGGGCCUUGUACACACCGCCCGUCACACCAUGGGAGUGGGUUGCAAAAGAAGUAGGUAGCUUAACCUUCGGGAGGGCGCUUACCACUUUGUGAUUCAUGACUGGGGUGAAGUCGUAACAAGGUAACCGUAGGGGAACCUGCGGUUGGAUCACCUCCUUACCUUAAAGAA